AACCCUUCGUUUCUCGCCUCUCACGGGCCGGCGACGCCUCCUCCCCUGUCCCCUCCUCUUCCUUCUUGCCCGGGCUCUUCCAAUUCCAUGCCCCCCCCGGCCCGCCACUCCUCUCAAUCCGCACCGCCACGCCAUACCUCCUUCCACUUCCCCAGUGAGAGCACGGUGUAGUUCGAGAGAACGUCUCCCCUACCCAGCCGCUUCUAGACGACAACACAGGUGUUCCUGCCGGAUCUAACAGUACCUAGCUGCAAGGCGCCAGAGCUUGCCGCCGUAACCUCCAUGGCUGGAUCCAAGGCGGACCGCAGCGAGGAGAAAGGGGCUGCUUCCUCCGCACCGCCCUAGCUUGAGAAGAUGUUCGAGGUGCCAGUGGAGUUGUUGGUGGCCGGCAGUCGGACGACAUCACCGAAGACGCGAGAGUCGGAGCUGGUCAGCCAUUUCCUGGGUGGCACCGAGCCGGCCCUGUCCGUGCAGCUCGGCGACCUCGGCCACCUCGCCUACUCCCAUCCCAUGCCAACCAAGCCCUCUACCGCCGAACGGCCCAAGAUACUGGAAUCAUGCUUUCACUCUUAACAAAGCUUCAUUUUGUAGUUGAAAUUGCACAAGCUGUGCUGUUCUUUGCCAUGGAUUUUGUGUUAUCUUACCAAGAGCAGAACAAAAUUGGUAAUUGCUAUUGAUUUGUUGUAUUCUUCCUGAGACAGACUCAUUUACUCUGCUUUUACUCUGUAGUUAGACAUGAUUUGUUUCGUCUUUUGAGGAAGAGCCUAAAAAAUAAGUUCAAGGCAAGAUUUGGGACUUACCAAUAGGAAGGACAAAAAAUAGCUCAAGGCAAGGUUUGAGAUAAGUUUGUACAACCAAUGUAUGUCCAAAGAGAAAAUUUGGGUUGGAUGCAUAGUCAGUCAAUAGAGGAGAAACACAGCAGCCGGUUAAGUUACCCUGCAGGAAUAUUAUAAUUUUCUAUUUAGUCAAUGCUCAAAUCAAUGUAAAGCGAAAUUUGUACUAAUUAACAGCACACAAAUAUUGUACAUGAGCUCUCCGCCGUUGGACAGCACGCUGGUGAUGCUGCUGCUGCCCUCCUUCCUCUCCGAAGAAAGCUCCAGCAAGCUGAUGUGGAUGCUGUGUUGCUGCCCUCCUCUGCCCCCUUUUCUUUAUGAAGAUAGCUGAUAGCUGCAGGACUAAAUAGAGUAAAUUUUCAGUUCAAUUUUGGAUUCAUUUUACUGACCAAAGGUAGUAGGAAUAAUGAGGAAAAGCUCAGAUCUACAGGAGCUCAACUGCAGAGGCAAUGAUGACAUUCUGAUUCGUAUGUAUAUAGUGGAAAUAGUUUGUACUAAUGAUGAUCUGAUCUCCUAAUAGGUCCAAAACCUGUCAAAUGCUGUGUAUAUAAUGUAUAAAGGAUGCGAAAUAAAACAUGAUUUGUGGUCCUUUGGGAA